UGGAACGCACAUUGCGCCCUCUGGUAUUCCGGAGGCAUGCCUGUUUGAGCGUCGUC
rnacentral:rRNA from 1 species